CUGCCUUGCUCUUGUGUACGUCUCCCUGGAGCUGCGCCUGAACUGCUCUUGGUCAUCAUUUCUCAAAUUGUAGCUUGCAUCAGAAUCAUUUGGAGUUAUUUUAAGACAGAGGCAAUUGUCAUCGCCCCCCCCUCACAUUUCUGACGAGUAAAUUGGGGUGACACCCGAGCAUGCGCAGCCCCAACAGCUUCCCGGGUGAAAGUGAUAUUGCUGUUCCCCGAAUACACUUGGAGGACCACAGAACAGACACACACGGGGAAUUGCUGGGCUGCGGGAUGUGAGCACCUGCGUCUGUAUUUCACCAUGCCAAAAGCUCUGCAGUGAUUAUGUUUAUUUACAUUUACGGAUGGACUAGAGGAGAGCUCUUCCGUGGUCCCUGCUUUGAUUCCGCCCGACGAUGGACUGAAGGCUGGAGCCCUGAGUCGUGUAAGCAAGCUCGUUCCUCCUCCGAACUGUUCUUCCUCCGAGUGAUUUGUCACAGUUAAUAGAAGAGUGAACUAGGUCCAACAUUGAUCUUUUGCUGAUCAUUAAAAAUGUUUUCCCC